GAUAAACGCUGGCGGCGUGCCUAAUACAUGCAAGUCGAGCGAACAGACGAGGAGCUUGCUCCUCUGACGUUAGCGGCGGACGGGUGAGUAACACGUGGAUAACCUACCUAUAAGACUGGGAUAACUUCGGGAAACCGGAGCUAAUACCGGAUAAUAUAUUGAACCGCAUGGUUCAAUAGUGAAAGACGGUUUUGCUGUCGCUUAUAGAUGGAUCCGCGCCGCAUUAGCUAGUUGGUAAGGUAACGGCUUACCAAGGCGACGAUGCGUAGCCGACCUGAGAGGGUGAUCGGCCACACUGGAACUGAGACACGGUCCAGACUCCUACGGGAGGCAGCAGUAGGGAAUCUUCCGCAAUGGGCGAAAGCCUGGCGGAGCAACGCCGCGUGAGUGAUGAAGGUCUUCGGAUCGUAAAACUCUGUUAUUAGGGAAGAACAAAUGUGUAAGUAACUAUGCACGUCUUGACGGUACCUAAUCAGAAAGCCACGGCUAACUACGUG
rnacentral:rRNA from 1 species